rnacentral:tRNA from 1 species
AGAAAUUUAAGUUAACAGACUAAAGGUCU